AUGAUAGCAAUUGGUAACUCUAAGUUCGCUCUUUGUUUCAUUAUAGGAAAGCCUGUGGUGACCAGAGUGCGACCAAUUGCUCCGAAGCCGAGUCAGCUGGUGCUUCAUCAGGCACAACUGUCACUCAUUCAUCAGCGGAAUCAGAACGUUGUUCGACAGCAAACAACUCAGCAAUUUGUCGUCCGUCAGGUACCCCAGGCAGUCAUUAGACAACAUACUCAACAACCCCAGGCAAUCAUUAGACAACAAACUCAACAACCUCAGGCCGUCAUUCGACAACAGAAUCAACAACCUCAGGCAGUCAUUCGACAACCAAAUCAACAACCUCAGGCAGUCAUUCGACAACCAAAUCAACAACCUCAGGCAGUCAUUCGACAACCAAAUCAACAACCUCAGGCAGUCAUUCGACAACCAAAUCAACAACCUCACGCAGUCAUUCGAAAGCAAACUCAGCGCGCAGCAGAAGAAUGUUUGGCGCAAUUGGAUACUCUGGAUGAGACUGCUGCUGAUGCUCCAGACCUUCCUAAUAAUUCUGCCCCAGUAACACCAGCAGUAAAAACUAGACGAUACUGGAACACUGCUGUGGAUCCGGAUAUCUACCCGGAUGUAACAGAUGUUGGAGACUUGUUUCUAGACAUAUUGGCUAAGCCAGAAUUCUGGAAUUUACACAAUGAUUCAACAACAAGGAAAGAAACAGUGUGGCGAAAAAUCGCAGAGGAAUUAGAAAGGUUAGGCUACAAAGCGGAUGACAAUUUAUCUGUGGCUGCACGCAUCGUUGAGGUAAAAUUCAAUAACAUGAAAAGUAAAUACAAACUUUUAAAGAUAAUGGAGGGCCAGGGAGCACUGGAAACGCCGGGAAAAGAGUUCCCUCAUAUUAUGACAAAAUAGAUGCACUCCUUGGUGGCAAUGAUGAUAUAACGCCCCAAAGCGUUAUCGAUUCAUUAGAUGAUGUUGUCGAAUCAACCAGCAGCGAAUCCGGAGAAAAGUCAACCGAUACUAUAAUACGGCAUGUAAAUAAAGCUGCAAGCCUGGCACACCAAAAAAAACGAAAGCUUGACAAAUAAUGAUGGAAGAAAUGAAAGUAACGCGCGAACAAAUAGCUCAAAAUCACUCAGAGUUCAUGGAUUACAUGAAGACCGACAAGGAGAAGACCAGACAAAUACAAGAGAGGAACGCAACAGCAUUUGAGUCUUUGGUAGCUCAUCUGACUGGGAAACCCAGUGCCUCCAACAGUGAUAGCAAACUGACUUUACCUAACCUCACUGUAAUGUUCAGGACAUAUUCUCCUUCAUGAUUUUUUUUCCCAUUUUCUUUCUCAUUAAUUUCAUUCUUGAAUAAUAUUUUUUUUCAAUUUCUAAUCUAGCUAUUUAAUCUGGACGAAUAUUCUCCAGUAUGUUGAUAAACAUUCCAGACUCAUUAUUUUUAUAAGUGACAUGUGCAUCACAUACUUGCUGAAACUUUGGGUAUUUGUGAUUUAGGAAGUAAGAAUGGACUACUAGACAAGGUACGAAUUUUAGCAAUCUGAUACAUGUUUUCUUAACCAGAAUUUCACAUGAAACACGAUUCACACAACGAAAAUUACUGAAACCAACUCUUAACGAAGAUAUUAACGUUUUUAUUACGCAUUGGUUACGAGGAAUUUAAACUGCCCGCUUUCAAGAAACUUAAAGUUCUGCGUGAGUCAAAUCGCGCACUACAACGAUUUCAGCAAGCUUCUCAAUCGAGCAAUGUUCAUUCCCACCAUGUUUU
rnacentral:lncRNA from 1 species